CUACGGGGUGCAGCAGUGGGGAAUAUUGCACAAUGGGCGAAAGCCUGAUGCAGCAACGCCGCGUGAGUGAUGAAGGUCUUCGGAUUGUAAAGCUCUGUUCUUGGGGAAGAAUAAAUGACGGUACCCAAGGAGAAAGCCCCGGCUAACUACGUGCCAGCAGCCGCGGUAAUACGUAGGGGGCAAGCGUUAUCCGGAAUCACUGGGCGUAAAGGGUGCGUAGGCGGCUUAGCAAGUCAGAAGUGAAAGGCAUUGGCUCAACCAAUGUAAGCUUUUGAAACUGUUAGGCUUGAGUGCAGGAGAGGAAAGUGGAAUUCCUAGUGUAGCGGUGAAAUGCGUAGAUAUUAGGAGGAACACCAGUGGCGAAGGCGACUUUCUGGACUGUAACUGACGCUGAGGCACGAAAGCGUGGGGAGCGAACAGGAUUAGAUACCCGGGUAGUC
rnacentral:rRNA from 1 species